rnacentral:misc_RNA from 1 species
GAUGAAGAACGUAGCGAAAUGCGAUACGUAAUGUGAAUUGCAGAAUUCAGUGAAUCAUCGAGUCUUUGAACGCACAUUGCGCCCCCUGGUAUUCCGGGGGGCAUGCCUGUCCGAGCGUCAUUGCUGCCCUCAAGCACGGCUUGUGUGUUGGGCCUCCGUCCUCCUCCCGGGGGACGGGCCCGAAAGGCAGCGGCGGCACCGCAUCCGGUCCUCGAGCGUAUGGGGCUUCGUCACCCGCUCUUGUAGGCCCGGCCGGCGCUUGCCGACACAUCAAUCUUUUUUCCAGGUUGACCUCGGAUCAGGUAGGGAUACCCGCUGAACUUAAGCAUAUCAAUAAGCGGAGGA